UAUUUAUAACAAAAAGAAAAGUAUUUGAAAAAAAUGUAUUUUGUUUUUUAAUUUUCCUUUUGUUCCCUUUUUAAUACUUAUUUCUUUCAGCAAUUUUGUGAUCGUGUGCAAUGCGAUCUUAGAGACAGUGUUUGAUACGCGAUAUAAUAUUAUUUAUUUAAAUAUCAUAUAGCUUAUAUUUUUUAAUUGAACGUAAAAGUAGAGUCAGUGUUUGUUUGUUGUUCAAUAUUUCAUUUCAUCUUAAGUUCAUAAAGAUUUCGUUUAUCGCAAAAUUAGAAUCAAAUCUGAUUGAGAAGAGGAUCUCCUUCGAGCUACAGUAAAAAAAGAAACGUAAAAAGAAUAAACAGAAAUUCAACAAAUAUAGAUCAAUAAUAAUCACAAUGUUGUGCUACAUGACUAUAUUUUGUUUACAAGUGCACCUGUAGAGUUAUCUCAAAUUUCAACCUUGACAAAUAAGGAGCAUCAACCGUUUGUUAUGGCAUAGUCUACAUGCAUUCAACGAACGGUGAGUCAAUACAUAUUUCAAUUUAUACAUAUUAGUUGCGUGUGAGCAUAGUGAUUACGAAAAUAAGAUUUUUGUUUCAUUAUAUUAAUAUUUAUUUGUUUUUUGAUUAUGUUUUAUAUGUAUUAGUUUAGGUUAGAAUCUUCUUGUUUCUUUUAUGCAACUUAUGAUAAUAGAGUAGAAGUCGGAUGAUCCUCCGAUUUCACAAUAAAUAUUUAUUUUUUGUUUUUUUAAAUUUAUAAUUUAUAAU